rnacentral:rRNA from 1 species
UACGUAGGUGGCAAGCGUUGUCCGGAAUUACUGGGUGUAAAGGGAGCGCAGGCGGGAAGCCAAGUCAGCUGUGAAAACUACGGGCUUAACUUGUAGACUGCAGUUGAAACUGGUUUUCUUGAGUGAAGUAGAGGUUGGCGGAAUUCCGAGUGUAGCGGCGAAAUGCGUAGAUAUUCGGAGGAACACCGGUGGCGAAGGCGGCCAACUGGGCUUUAACUGACGCUGAGGCUCGAAAGUGUGGGGAGCAAACAGG